GACACCAGUCUGUACCUGGCUCUGCACAAUGAUGAGAUGGGGCAGCAGUGAAGCAUGGGCUGACACAACUGCUGAUGCCUUAUCUAGCUGGAAACUGAAAACAAGAUUACUGGCACUGAGUAGGAGUGGAUAUCAGAGUCAUGGAGGAUUUGCAAAAAUAUAGAGAUGGGGAUAAGGCUGAACAAAAAGAUUAUUUAGAGUCCUAGAAGAUGCCAUCUCCAGCAGAAAAUUACACUGAACACAUCUGUGAUGAGAAUGUGUCACUGUAACAUGCAAUUUUGUCUCAAAAGACCUUUGUUUCGGGUCCCUGAGGCUGCCAGCCCCAGAGGACAUGCACUGGAGAUAGCAGAAGCUGCACAAUGAAAGGCAGAGAUAGUGAUUGCCAAAAGUGAGGAAAGAGCAGUCAAGCAGCAUGGGUUACUGCCCAGUUAAACUGAGUUACAUGAUACUAAUGUCAGAAAGGAGACCAUCCAGUACAAAACCCAGUGGAAGCCACCGAGAGUAUUUUUUUUGCACUGCUUAUCAUUUUGUUUAUCUGACUAGAUAUAAGUGUGGAAUAUUUGCUGUCAUACGUUUUGGAGAAGUGAAUUUUAAUUGGUAAUUCCGAAGCAGUGGGACCUUGGCUGCUGAAUAUAGCAGACAGGCUGGAAGCACGUGGUAUCAGAGAGUGUCUUUGCCGUUACACAGCACCUCUAUCCUUGCUCCCCUCUUUGUGCCUGUUUUCUCUGCAGUAACUCAACUUCCUCAAAAGCAAAACCUCCAUUUGAUUCUGGCAAAAUUUCCUAUAGGGCCCACAAGCAAAGCAGCUGGACAGUUUCCAGAGAAGGAGCCAGGAAGCAAAGCUGGUAGAAAACAUAAUGGAAAGCAGUGUGUCUGUCCCUACAACCCUCAGCACAGGAGGGAGGUUUGCAGCAGCCCUCAGCUCCCAGGAGACAGAGAGGCUCAUUCCAAAGGUGGGAAGGACAAGGCCACACUGAGUUUGUGUUCCUUGACCUCCCAGAUGGGUAGUACUGGCCUCUCAUUUUGUUUUUAAUUUUAACUUUGCUGAAAAACCUGUAUUUUUUGGUUGCUAACAUCAUCCUCAGGACAAGAAUAGCAGAAAUUGAAUAUUAGAAACCAUAUUUCCCAAGUUCUAUUUUGCAAUCACAUCAUGCUAUGCAGACAUAGCCCUGCUUUCCCACACGAAGCCCUUGUUGCACACAUUUCACCCUGUGGCUAUGAGGAAGCUCCUUCAUUUUAAACAGCCUGAACAGCUCACACUCAUCUGUGGGACAGAAGGGCAUAAAACUCAAGUGUGCUUGAGAAGAAGAUCGGAGUGGGACAAAACAUUUUCCUUAUAAGUAAUUGAUUUUUGUAGCUUUGUUAGAAAAUUCUUGACCCUGUUAAUUACACAAAAAGUAUGUUUUAUUGCUAGAAAGAUCUCUUAUCAUAGAAAAAUACUGAGCUCAGGAGGAGAAAAAGGAAUUAUAUUAAUGGGAAAUUGAGAAUGAUUUUGUUAGUCUUGACGUACUUUUAAAGAAUUUUAAAUAAGCUACUGAUACUUCAUCUGAUUUUCUGCAGUGCUGUACAGUCUGCCACUGAUGAGCUGAACCUCGAGCAUGGCACAAGCCUUUCAUUCCUGACAGGACCCCCCUGGUGCCCAGGGAACAAACUGCUGGAGGACCUCAUGCCCACCCUGAGGCUGGGGUGCUGCAGGUGAUACUGCAGGAAACAACUCCCACCUUUCCUACUUCGGAAAGUGCACUCAUGGCUUAUUCUAGUGAACACAGCUGAUGUGUUGCCCUGGGCAACUUUAUUAAUAGAGCCACCCAGCCUUCAUUUGAUAAAGCUGUUUAACAACAGACUGAAAAUGAAUGAUCAGUCAGAAGGGAGAAAACUACUGAUGAAAAAUGGAAAAUAAAAAGCCUGGAAAAAAUUUAAUCACUGUAAAUUUUGAGAUAAUGACAUUGCUCUUCAAGGUAUUGUGAUUUUUUCUCUGCCAGCAUUCAGAACCCUCUGUAUUACAUUAAAUGCUUCACUGCAGUCUUGCAAGGUUUCUAAGAUGUAAACUGGCAAUUCACUGAAGCCACAAGAAGCAGCAGCAGUGCCUCAUUUUCCCUGUGUGCUACCAGACUUCUUCUUUUCCUUACCUGUUUGCUUUCACUGCCCCUUUAUUUGAUACUGCAGCUUCCAUGUGAGUUCUGAGCAGCUUUGGGAAGUACUUGCAAACAACAAGUAGAAGUGUAUCUGGUUUUCUGUUUUGCCAGUCUUUGCAGGUCUUAGUUCUAAUUUUUCUAUGUGCUGUUCAGCUUUCCUAAUUCAGCAAAGGACCUGGCACUAGUUUUAUGCCUCAAAUUCAAAUGAAUGAAGUGGAAGCUAGGUAUUGAGUAAUUAUGGAUGAUGUGCAUUUGAAAUUCAACAAAUUGGCCUAAUAUCAUAAGAACCAGAUAGAUUUGACAACUGGUCUGUGUAACUCACAUGGAAUGGAAUUAUGCCAAUAACUCAAAAUAGAAAACUUUUAAAAUGCAUAUUUUUUUACUAACAUAAAAAACUGAUGUAGAUAGGAACUCCCGAAAGUGAUCAAAAAUAAACAGAUUAGGAGACUCAUCCUGUUUCAUUUUUUUCCCAAAACUAUUUGUAGGCUGAGAGCUUUUUCUCCAUGCUAAAGCAAGUGGUAGAAAUUUUGAAUUAUUUGCUGCUAAUCUCUAAAUGGUAAAUGUCCCUCAGUUUUGUUGAUUUGUUUCAGCAGCUCCCACAAGACCAUUCUGAUUACCACAAGCAUGUUUUUAUACUGAUUGAUUCAGAGGUAGUAGACAGAAAAGGUAUAAAACUAUAAAAAGGUAUGAAACUAUAGCUUAUAAGAGAAAAGCAAGUUGCACUGUAGUAAUUGACAACCCUUCUCUCAUUUAGCAAUAAACUACAUUUCCAUUUUGUCAGUAAUUGGCAAAAGAACAAGUAAACAAAAUCUACACCUUUUGCACUUAAGUUUCAUGUUUCACCUGUUCUAGAAUACCUCUGUCUGUCUUUUUUGAUGUGAUAAUGAACAGUUUCAAGAUGCUGGGAAGCAGAAGGAAAAAGCCCAAACCAUUUAUCAGAGAAAAUCUUCUGCUUAUUUGAGCAACAGAAAUGUAGCAAUGUCUCAAUCUUAAUUUCAAGUUCAGUUUAGUUCCUAAAAUACAUAGCUUCCUCUCGGGCACUUCUCAUUUUUCCUUAUUCCCUGAAAUGAUUGCAGUCACCCACUGCCAUUUUAGCCCCCUGUGCUCUAAAUAUUUCUGCUUUCUACUCCUUUUUCAUUUGGUCUAUGUGUAUUUUUUCUUUCAUGUCUUUCAUCAGUGUCAUGCUCAGGCUGGAACUCUAAAUAAGUCUUCAGAAAUCCCUUAUCAGUAAACUGGAAAUCCCUUCCAAUUUCAUUAAUGGACAGAAGUGCCAAAUAUUAAUUUUCCUAUUAUAUUUAUUUCUGAUGUUUCAAAUACUAAAAAAUACAAUGCAAUUAAUCUAGUUAUUUCAGUUUUUAAAGCAGAAAAUUUGUAAUAAAUAAUUCAUGCUGAAUUCCUUUGAAUUGUUUUUUAAUUGGCUCAUGUCAGAGGAGAACUAAAGCAGUGAGAUAACCUACAGAAAACACAGCUCUGGAGGAUGCAGCUGCACAAGUGUCAUAAAAUGAUCCUGAAUGGUUCCUAUUAUCUUUGAGAAUAUGUGGAUUAAUUUAGACCAGCAAUUGAGACAAUAGAUCAAAGCUCCCUAUUUAGAUACUGGCUGUAAGAUUAUUAUGGAUAGUUCCUACUGGCUUAUUUAAGUGUUUGUGAGAGCUGACAUUUGCCAAAACAGCCAAAUUCUAGGAUUCACUUACAUGCCAGGGUUCCUGGAGACCCCAAUGCAGAUCCAAAUGGUAUUGAAAUCUAUAUCCCAUUGUCACAUGUCACAAUUCUCUGUAAAGCAAAUAAUGAAGGACUCACAAGAAGCUUCAAUAUAAUGGAAUAGAAAAAUAGCAGUAUGGAUCUUGAAAUCCUCUGUUUGGGCAACAAGAAUUCAUGUCAUAAUUCCAAGAAGCAAUAUCUGAUAUCUUCACCAAUUUAUGAUUCAUCUCCUUUGAUGUUAAUAUUAAAUAUUUUUGCUAAUAAAGGAAUGCAUAUGAAUAUAAGAAAGCAUGGGGGAACAGGAAAAAGGUAAAGCAGGAGAGGGCAAAGAAGCCUUUGGUACUUGCUGAAAAAGUGAAAAAAGUAGAAAAUAUAGCACCAGCAGAUUUAAACUUUGAAAAAAAC